AUUGAACGCUGGCGGCAUGCCUUACACAUGCAAGUCGAACGGCAGCACGGGGCAACCUGGUGGCGAGUGGCGAACGGGUGAGUAAUGCAUCGGAACGUGCCAUUGAGUGGGGGAUAACGUAGCGAAAGUUGCGCUAAUACCGCAUAUUCUGUGAGCAGGAAAGCAGGGGGACCGCAAGGCCUUGCGCUCUUUGAGCGGCCGAUGUCAGAUUAGCUAGUUGGUGAGGUAACGGCUUACCAAGGCGACGAUCUGUAGCGGGUCUGAGAGGAUGAUCCGCCACACUGGAACUGAGACACGGUCCAGACUCCUACGGGAGGCAGCAGUGGGGAAUUUUGGACAAUGGGCGCAAGCCUGAUCCAGCCAUGCCGCGUGAGUGAAGAAGGCCUC
rnacentral:rRNA from 1 species